rnacentral:lncRNA from 1 species
AAAGCAAUAGGACUGACCCACGAAGACCCUGCUCGCUUUCUGGCGUCGGUCUCUCUAGGAUCCAUCUCCGAUUAAUUGCUUUCCGGCUCUGAGAUGGCACCUCCAUCGCCAGUCAAAGUUUUAAUUAAUCAUGCCAGCAGAUGGGCUGUCACGGCCGGAGCGGCCAGGGUAAUGAACUCAUUUAUUAUCAGCCUCUGUCAGCGGGAGGCCAUCCGGGCUUCUGGGAAAAGAAGAGAGGCUCCUGACACCAGAGCCCAGGACACGUGCAGUUUGGGGGAAAUCUCUGGAAAUGCUUUGGUUUCAGAUCAUCCACUGGCCUUUAAGAGGGGCGUGGGAGGAAGGGGUGGGUAGCAGGAAGGAGAUUGUGACUCAGGCUGCAGGAAGGGGCCUCGAUAGCAUGGUGCUCUGGAUGGCGCUUGAGGCUGGCCUGGCCCUCUGGUGCCCCUGCACCCACCUGACUCGUGGAGCCAGGGUGACAUGGGGUAGCCAGGCCAUGUGUUCUUGCACAGGGCAUCACUUUGACCCGCCAGUCCUCAGAGGUCGAGGGUCAGGCCCUAGGGGUGAGUGGCUGGAUUUUGUGCCCUGGGUUUUCUUGUUCAUUCUCUCUGAUGCCCACACCAUGUUAUGCAUGACAAGUCUUUAAUAAAUGCUGUCGAAUUAAUGGAAGAAAGGAUAAAUGAAUACAUAUGUGUGGAGUGCCCAGCAUGGAAGCCACCACUAUGAGAAGAAAGCUUUGAUGGAGUCCACCUUAGGGCGGAGAUUCUCAGCAGCACUGAGGGAGAAGCCUGGGUCUAAAAGACCCCUUCUCGCUUUAGGGACUUACAGGAUUCCUCUGACAGGACUGGGGCAGACAGAAUGCAGAACAAGCAUGGCAACUCAAGUAGAGAGGCCAAGGAAUGGUCACAGGGUGUCACAGUCAGAAGGGACGUUCGUGUGGGGAGAAGACCUUUGAUCAGCAGCCCUUUCCUUCUCCUGCGGUGGCCUGAACUCAGAGGGUAUAACUGGGAUGGAGCCAGGCCACCGCCUUACGUGUGUGCACACAUGGGAGCAGCCUGGGCCUCCUCGCUGUGGAAGGGCCGGAGUGUCUGCUGUGAUGGGGCACACAUCUCCUUCUUGGUUGAGCAGUAAACAAGGACUGUUCGGUUGGGCCUGUUUCCUUGGAGCAUAUCUUCAUGAAUAUUUGCUGGUGCAGAGAAGUGAUGAAGUACCCAUAGUCCACACUAUGAAAUCAGAAAGUCUCUGAAGAAGAAAUUGGCACUCUGCGGCCAUGGUCCUAAGAGAGAAGAC